GAAGUUAUAGCUGAGGAGUGGAGCACUCGCUUUGCAUACGGGAAGUCUGGGGUUCGAUUCCCCAUACCUCCA
rnacentral:tRNA from 1 species